rnacentral:misc_RNA from 1 species
UUUCCGUAGGUGAACCUGCGGAAGGAUCAUUAAUGAGUGAAACACUUCUGGCUUUAUGCUGUUGUGCUGGCCCUUUGAGCAAUGUGCACACGGCUCUGGUCACUUGUUUCUUCUGUUCCACCUGUGCACUGCCUGUAGACACGCUGUGUCUAUGAUAUUUGUUAACACACAACAAUGUUAGUUGGCAUGUUAUAUAUAAUAAUAAAAUAUACAACUUUCAACAACGGAUCUCUUGGCUCUC